AGUUUCCACCAUUGAAUUCUAUGUAAGCUAUUUUUCUCUAUUGUUUAAAUUUGAUGAUUGACUCAACCAUAUCUUUAGGAACUUCUUUGUUUAGAUUUAUUUGACCAUUCCAAGAAAAGAGUCCUAGUCUAUUUCGAUCAAGGCAAGUUUCGAAACAAUAUGGUUUAUGAGUUUCUAUAUUUAGAUAAAACGAAUUCUUGUUGUAAUAGCUUGUGCCAAAAGAAAAGAAAACAGGUCUUUUUAACUUCACUAACAAUAUGUUCAACAUGGUUUUAGUAAUCCUCUCAUCCAAGUAUUCUCUAACUAUGUACGCUUCUCUUUCAGACAGAAAAACUGAGAAUGAGAAACACACCAACACACUACUACACUAGUAACCUCAAUGCAUAGAAGACAAAGUGAGAAAAUAGAAAACGAAGAAGAGUGUUGGACCACACGAUAUAUGUCUAGCAUGGUCUUUGUUUCUUGUUGAUCUAAGGCAAGUCACGUGUUCUGAAUUUCAUGGUCAGGUCAGCUAUAUGGAAACUCUACCUCAUCAGGAACUAGAUCAAUAUAUAAUGGAAGAGAAACUAUGGUCGGUCAGACGCGUUAGCGAAAGAAACAAGAUCCAAAUGCUAUAUUUUCUUCCAUAUAGAUCAGACGCGUACAGACGGAGGUGUUCCAUGAAAAAUCGGCUCGUCUGACCAACACUUGAUCUAUCUUAAAUGGCCAGCUGACAAAAAAAAAGGAAGUCACUUAUCCAAUCAUACAAGCAGGUCUAUGCCAGGAGAUUCUCCUUGCACGAAAUCAAACAUGGAACUCAAAAGUUUGACGAUUCCAACAUCACUCGAGUUAUACGACACUUUUUAACAUUUACAC
rnacentral:lncRNA from 1 species